CUUCUUCUGACAGUCACUGUACCCCACCAUCUGGCCUAGGACAAGAAUCAGGUAUUUGUGGUCUGUGAGGACAAAGAACCUAGUUUUACAUGGAAGAAACUGCUUAGAAGUGGAAAAAAAAAUGAAGAAAGCUGAGGAAACUAACAUUCCCAAGCCCUGCUGGUACAUACGUAUCCUACCCCCUCCAGAUUUGCAUUUCAAAGCCUCCCUGUGUUUUGAUUUUUUUUUUUUUUUUGGCUUUUCUUCUUGCCUUAUCCAUUGUAACUUGUCUUAAUACCUUACCUCAGGUGAGCUCAGAUUGGCAGAGUGAAUUUUAACCAAAACAUGAAUUAUCAUUUGAAAAACAUUGGUGUGUCUUUUAUAUCUAUGACCCCUCAUGAAAGUGAGUUGAGCUUUUACAAGAUAACACAAGUCAUAUACAAUCAGUAUGAGCCAAAGAAUCUUCUCAUUCACCAGGACUAAAAUUAGAGUCAGGAGUGACCACAAAAGUCUGCAGAUGGAGCAAUAAGAAGGAGUCCAGAGGAGGCCUGGAAAGAGGUAGGGAUGUUUUAAAAUAUUAUAAACAGUUAUCCUAUUGUUUACAGAAUAAAAUUAACCCAAUGACACAUUCUAAGUAUGGCUUCAGCUCUUCCACCAGCCAGAGCUAAAGACAUUGUAAAUAAGAUGUGUGCUCAGCUGCAGUGGAUCAGGACCUGUCGUAGUCGUUUGGGGGAAGAUUACAAGAGGUAGUAAUUUAACUCUACUCGUAUGAAAUUCUUAGUUGCUAAAGUUCUCCUAACUGUAUGAAAUUAAAUUAAUUUUCUUGGCCUCAGACUUCAUUCCCUGUGUAUAAACAGAGCAUCCUGCCAACAGUUCAACCACCUGCUCUUUGUCACUGGAACUGAGAAGCUGCAGAUUCUGGUGGCUAGGAUUCAAGCUACUGGAACUGCCUCGUAGCACCAUUCCACAGAGGUGCAAUUAUCAGUGGGAGAACAGUCAGAGAAUACAAGUCCUUAAAGAAUCCAAGGGGAGUGACAAGGUGAGACUUGCCCUCUAAUCAGCGCCAUCUCUCCCCCUACCCUUUUAUUUCCUCCCUCCCUCUCUCCUCUUUUCUG
rnacentral:lncRNA from 1 species